AUUUUGUCAGACAUAAAUAAUUGAAACUGCAGAUACCUAUCCCACAGAUAUGGGGGUUGUACUGUAUAGGGCAAGCCAUUUUGGGUUCAAUAUUGGGAGGAAGACAGGAUACUAGAGCAAGAAACAUACACCAUUUGCCACUGUGGCAUAACAUCUUAAACUAACAGAGAUAAAACCUUAUAAACAGAGUUGGACAAGACUCCAGGGACCAUCCCAUCCAACCUUAAGAUAUGCAGGAAUACACAAUCUGAAAUAACUUCAGCCCUCCUUAACUUCAGUAGACAUUUCUUUGUCCCUUAAGCUGUAGGUGGUAUAUUGGGAAAUAAACCUGUUACGUGUGGUAAUGUGUGGCACCUACUUGUAUCAGCUUUUGGUUGAAGGCCUUCCCAGCAGGGUUCAUCUUGCACUAGACAGAGUUUUCCUGAAGCAUUGAGUCAGCAAUGGAUCUGAAGCAGAUGAAGGACUACAUUUAUUGGCUGUAUUUUCAGUAUCUCCUAGUCACCUGCAGCUACGUCCUAGAACCCUGGGAACAAUCCAUGUUCCACACUAUUACAAUUACUGUGGUGGCCAUGGUGGUCUACACUGCUUAUGUCUUCAUCCCCAUCCAUAUCCGCCUGGCUUUUGAGUUCUUCUCUCAGAUAUUUGGAAGCCCACCUGAAUGUACUGCAUCACUUGCAAGUUGAGCCAGCCAUUUUUGAACCCAAUGCAAAGUACAGUCUUCCACCUCACUGUCUUCCUAAACUAUGCCAAUGUCUGUUUUGGGGUCUAUUUCAAAUCUUUUCUUCCGGAGCACAUGUGUGCCACCUCCUUUUACAAAGCUGGGCUAUCAUUGCACUGACUACUGCCUCCUGGCUAAUUCUCACCGAAAUGCAUGAAACCUCUUUUCUUGAAGUGACAUGGUCCCACUGGGAUGUGUUGCUUUGCUAAAUCUCUCCCUGUGAAUUGCAAUUGUAUGCAGCAGAUCUCCCACAAGAAGGAACAGUUUGUUUUAUGCCUUGUGAAUCUGUUUCCUUAUCCUUCUGGGGAUAGUAAAACUGAUUUAAGCUUGCAUGCCUUUCACAGUACUGUUUUGCACACCAAAUGAUCUUGAGAAUUCUUUCUAAACAAUUUCUAACAAUGCACAAACCUGUUGACCUAUUUCUGAAAGGGGAAACAAGAAAAUUGUUUUGGUUUCUACACAGUAUAAGCCUUUCCUUUUAAAAAUAUAUUUUUUUAAAAUAAAUGUAUUGUAACUUUUCCCUUCUUGGGAUCUUUCUCACAGAUACCCUGUUGCUAAGAUUCAGAGCACUUCAUGAGAACUCUGUUGAAAAUGUUAUUUUUAUAACCUGAAAUCCCCCAGCCAAAAAGUUGGUAAUGUUGGGGGCAUGGUCCUUCACUUCUGUUCCUUGUUCUCAGUAUAUGGCAAAGAACCAAAGUAUUCAUAUACAACACUUGUAAACCCAGUUGGAAAAUGUUAACUUUGGUCCUCCUCUCACUUCCUCUGGGCUUCGUUUAAUUUUGGGUAUGAGAAAAACAAGGAAAAGAAGUGUGUGUUUGUUAAAUGCUGCCACACAGAGAUGUGUAUGAGAACUCUGCCUAGACCCCUUCCAGGUAUACAACUUGCGUCCAAAAAGGGAACAGGUGAGAUUUUGAAAUGGGCAAGUGACUGGACUUUAUUGUACAAGAGCUGCAGGUGUUAGGGGAAAGUGGCAGAAAUGGGAACCUUCAGUAAAUUAAAGCUUAACUCUCACAUAAGGGGCCUUCUAUAUUCCAUGAUGUUAGCAAGAUUUGAAUUCCAGCUUCUGUGUUAUUUUAUAUAUAGUUGUAUGGCAACAGGAACAUAUGUGAGUUGAAGGAGAGGAGUAAUUGCAAUAUUAAUGAGCUUUUCAAAAAUAUUUUGGUUUUUGGUAGCAAGGCUACUAUAUCUAUGGGUUUGUUUGUUUACUUUUUUGCCAAGUGGUAUUAAUUUUCUCUAAAUAACCAACAUAGAGCUGUUUUCUGUUCUGUUUCUGUUCUGUCAACAUUUUAUAUGAAGUAAAUAAACCAUAUAUAUUAUAAAAGAAGUUACUGUAUAUCCUAAUACUUGCAGAGUCUGUGAAAGCUUUUAUAGAGGAGAUUCUGAACUAGGAUUUCUUUUAAUUAAACUGAGUGAGCCAUCCUAAUUUGAUUUGGGUUUUAUUUUCAUUUUGGAAAGUGCCAAUGCUACACCUUAACUAAAUGAAAUGUGAAUGCCAAAGAGCAAACCUGAAUAUCCACUCACUCUGCUUUGUGGAGUUCACACUGCUACCAAUGAAAAGUGGCUUUAAGUGUCAAAUGUAAAUAGGUCACAAACGGUAUCUUCACAGAUACAUGAAAUAUAAGAUACAUUUUGUCUCUUAGCAUAUUAACUGUGUAUGUUAACUCCACAAAUAACAGUUUACACUGUUUCUGUCAAAGACAUGUCUUGAAGAUUUCAGCGAUCUGAGCAUGUAUUGUGUUUCCCAGGAACAAUAAACUUGAAUUUAUUAUAAAA